CAGCCCCGCGGAAACCAUAGCAACGGGCAGCCUGAAGAUGCGGCCAUUCAUCUUCCUUUUGUCCUUUGCAUUUCAGCGGCGCCCCGCGCACGUGGACGCUCCAAUUACAGCCGGAUGUCUCUUCUUCAGGAAGCCUCCUCUGGUCCACAGGGCUGUGUUAGGAAUCCUCCUUGGGUUUCCAAGUCAUCCUCUGCUUUUCACUCUGCGUCUGUUUGUGUCUACUUCCUCUGGACUGUGAACUCCUUGAGGGAGCUUGAUUGGCCUCCAGUAGUAUCAAUCUGGAUGUGUGGGGGAGUUAACGUCAUGGAGGUAGCAACUCUUAACCAAUCGAGUAUGGGAGUGGAUAGAUAAAUACCACAGUUUCUCAGAUCUCUAGGGAGAUGGUUCUGAAACAUGAUUUUCCAGCAGAGUGAAGCUCUGGUUGCCCACAGUG